UACGGAGGGGGCUAGCGUUGUUCGGAAUUACUGGGCGUAAAGCGCACGUAGGCGGCUUUGUAAGUUAGAGGUGAAAGCCCGGGGCUCAACCCCGGAAUUGCCUUUAAGACUGCAUCGCUUGAACGUCGGAGAGGUGAGUGGAAUUCCGAGUGUAGAGGUGAAAUUCGUAGAUAUUCGGAAGAACACCAGUGGCGAAGGCGGCUCACUGGACCGACUGUUGACGCUGAGGUGCGAAAGCGUGGGG
rnacentral:rRNA from 1 species